rnacentral:rRNA from 1 species
GUGGGGAAUAUUGGACAAUGGGCGAAAGCCUGAUCCAGCCAUGCCGCGUGUGUGAAGAAGGUCUUCGGAUUGUAAAGCACUUUAAGUUGGGAGGAAGGGCAGUAAGUUAAUACCUUGCUGUUUUGACGUUACCGACAGAAUAAGCACCGGCUAACUUCGUGCCAGCAGCCGCGGUAAUACGAAGGGUGCAAGCGUUAAUCGGCAUUACUGGGCGUAAAGCGCGCGUAGGUGGUUCGUUAAGUUGGAUGUGAAAGCCCCGGGCUCAACCUGGGAACAGCAUCCAAAACUGGCGAGCUAGAGUACGGUAGAGGGUGGUGGAAUUUCCUGUGUAGCGGUGAAAUGCGUAGAUAUAGGAAGGAACACCAGUGGCGAAGGCGACCACCUGGACUGAUACUGACACUGAGGUGCGAAAGCGUGGGGAGCAAACAGGAUUAGAAACCCUGGUAGUCC